AACGUAGGAGGCGAGCGUUAUCCGGAGUUACUGGGCGUAAAGAGCGUGUAGGCGGGUUUGCAAGUUUGGCGUGAAAGCUCCCGGCUAAACUGGGAGAGUGCGCUGAAGACUGCGAAUCUAGAGGCGAGUAGAGGGACGUGGAAUUCCGGGUGUAGUGGUGAAAUGCGUAGAGAUCCGGAGGAACACCAGUGGCGAAGGCGACGUCCUGGGCUUGACCUGACGCUGAGACGCGACAGCACGGGGAGCGAACGGGAUUAGAAACCCCCGUAGUCC
rnacentral:rRNA from 1 species